ACUGAUUCUCGCUAAUGGGGAAGGCGCAGGGAGUACAAGCCUGCUGAGGAGCGAGCAAGCAGCCAGGCACACACCUGCUGGCUUCCCAUGGAUGUCAAAAGCCCCGCCUUCGCAUCAGGGGGACCGUGAAAACUGACGGGACAUUUUUUCUUUGUUUUUGGAGAGAGAGAAACAUCAAUGUGAGAGAGAAACGUUGAUCGGUUGCCUCCUGUACAUGCCCAGGGCCGGGGAUUGUAUGCACCUGGACGAGGGAUCGAACCUGCAACCUAGUCUCUCAACGAUGCCUCCAAUGGCGGCACCCCACCAGGAGCCAGAGGGCAAGGACCUCGCUGAUGCUGAUGCAGCCCAGAGAGAGCCACCUCCCAGGACGCAGGACCAGGAGGGACUUGCAGGGAAAACCGGAGCCCUGGCUGUGGGGCAGGCAUGUGGGCACCUGUAGCCAAUCUUGCUGUUUUUCAAGAGAAUUUGGAGACCUGGCCUUUAUUUGCGCAAUCUUUGUACUUAUAAAAGUACAAAGUAACUUUUGUAAGUAAUGGGAGUAAUUUUCCAAACACGUGUGGGCCAAGCAACACAUGCUGGUAUGAAGUCUUCAGGCCUAAAAACAAGUGAAUACACAAAACGAAAGAGAAACAGACCCAUAGACAGAAAGAACAGGCUGAUGGUUGUGAAACACAAGAGGGAUGGGGGGUGGGGGUGAGUGGAAAAAAUACAUAAAUCAAUUUAUUUUUAAAUGUGCACAAAGCCUAAAAAUAUCUAUUUGGAUGGUUGAAGUUCUGUAGAAAUUUCAUUUUCCAUGGUUUUAAGCAACAUUCAACACCAGUAAUUUGUAGUAUAAAAUCAGCUUCACAUUUAGGUAUUCUAAAAUGAUUCACUAAUUUGGUCUAGUCCAAUCUUAUCCAGGUUUGGAAGUGGCCUUGAAAUUGUUAUAGAAAAUGGUAGUUACAGUU